AUGAACGCUGGCGGCGUGCCUAAUACAUGCAAGUCGAGCGAACGGACGAGAAGCUUGCUUCUCUGAUGUUAGCGGCGGACGGGUGAGUAACACGUGGAUAACCUACCUAUAAGACUGGGAUAACUUCGGGAAACCGGAGCUAAUACCGGAUGAUAUUUUGAACCGCAUGGUUCAAAAGUGAAAGACGGUCUUGCUGUCACUUAUAGAUGGAUCCGCGCUGCAUUAGCUAGUUGGUAAGGUAACGGCUUACCAAGGCAACGAUGCAUAGCCGACCUGAGAGGGUGAUCGGCCACACUGGAACUGAGACACGGUCCAGACUCCGACGGGAGGCAGCAGUAGGGAAUCUUCCGCAAUGGGCGAAAGCCUGACGGAGCAACGCCGCGUGAGUGAUGAAGGUCUUCGGAUCGUAAAACUCUGUUAUUAGGGAAGAACAUAUGUGUAAGUAACUGUGCACAUCUUGACGGUACCUAAUCAGAAAGCCACGGCUAACUACGU
rnacentral:rRNA from 1 species